rnacentral:tRNA from 1 species
GGUAGAAUGGCUGAGAGUAGGCGGUAAAUUGUAAAUUUAUUUAGGGGAAUUGAUCUCUUCUAUCA